AUUCCAGCUCCAAUAGCGUAUAUUAAAGUUGUUGCAGUUAAAAAGCUCGUAGUUGGAUUUGUGGUGUAUGCCGGCGGCCUGGUACUUAGUAUCGGAGCUUGCUUGCGUCGCCAUCCUUGGGUGGAUCCUGUGUGGCAUUAAGUUGUCGUGCAGGGGAUGCCCAUCGUUUACUGUGAAAAAAUUAGAGUGUUCAAAGCAGGCUUAUGCCGUUGAAUAUAUUAGCAUGGAAUAAUAAGAUAGGACCUUGGUACUAUUUUGUUGGUUUGCGCACCAAGGUAAUGAUUAAUAGGGACAGUUGGGGGUAUUCGUAUUCCAUUGUCAGAGGUGAAAUUCUUGGAUUUUUGGAAGACGAACUACUGCGAAAGCAUUUACCAAGGAUGUUUUCAUCA
rnacentral:rRNA from 1 species